rnacentral:rRNA from 1 species
AACAGGAUUAGAUACCCUGGUAGUCCACGCCGUAAACGAUGAGUGCUAAGUGUUAGGGGGUUUCCGCCCCUUAGUGCUGCAGCUAACGCAUUAAGCACUCCGCCUGGGGAGUACGGCCGCAAGGCUGAAACUCAAAGGAAUUGACGGGGGCCCGCACAAGCGGUGGAGCAUGUGGUUUAAUUCGAAGCAACGCGAAGAACCUUACCAGGUCUUGACAUCCCGCUGACCGCCUUGGAGACAAGGCUUUCCCUUCGGGGACAGCGGUGACAGGUGGUGCAUGGUUGUCGUCAGCUCGUGUCGUGAGAUGUUGGGUUAAGUCCCGCAACGAGCGCAACCCUUGAUCUUAGUUGCCAGCAUUCAGUUGGGCACUCUAAGGUGACUGCCGGUGACAAACCGGAGGAAGGUGGGGAUGACGUCAAAUCAUCAUGCCCCUUAUGACCUGGGCUACACACGUGCUACAAUGGACGGUACAAAGGGCAGCCAACCCGCGAGGGGGAGCCAAUCCCAGAAAACCGUUCUCAGUUCGGAUUGCAGGCUGCAACUCGCCUGCAUGAAGCCGGAAUCGCUAGUAAUCGUGGAUCAGCAUGCCACGGUGAAUACGUUCCCGGGCCUUGUACACACCGCCCGUCACACCACGAGAGUUUGUAACACCCGAAGUCGGUGGGGUAACCCUUACGGGAGCCAGCCGCCGAAGGUGGGACAGAUGAUUGGGGUGAAGUCGUAACAAGGUAACC